rnacentral:rRNA from 1 species
UACGUAGGGGGCAAGCGUUGUCCGGAAUCAUUGGGCGUAAAGCGCGUGUAGGCGGCUUGGUAAGUCCGCUCUGAAAGCCCGGGGCUCAACCCCGGGAGGCGGGUGGAUACUGUCAAGCUCGAGUCCGGAAGAGGCGAGUGGAAUUCCUGGUGUAGCGGUGAAAUGCGCAGAUAUCAGGAGGAACACCAAUGGCGAAGGCAGCUCGCUGGGACGGUACUGACACUGAGGCACGAAAGCGUGGGGAGCAAACAGG